GUCCAUGAUGAGUGAUCCGUUUCAUUGAGAUGUAGAUUUCCUCAAGACCCUGUUUCCCAGGGUGAACCUACUUGAGGCGCUACAUUGUUCAUGACUUUACUGGAUCUACGUGAGAC
rfam:Gossypium raimondii chromosome 13, whole genome shotgun sequence.